rnacentral:lncRNA from 1 species
ACCCGCACAAAGGUAAUAUGUUUUGAGCACAUAACAGUAAAAGGUUUACUGUAGAAUUCAAAAUUUUAAAUUUAAAUGCAUGCUAUAUAUAUCAUUUUUAGAUCUUUGUGUAGGGUUAAUAUAUAUUAAUUAAUUAAAUUAAUUAAUAAUUUUUACUGUAAAGUUAUAAUUUUGAAAAAGUUUUAAAAUUAUUGUUUUACCCCUGCACUGAAUUUACUACACUUCCUUGAUCUAAAACUUCA